AGGACGAACGCUGGCGGCGUGCUUAACACAUGCAAGUCGAGCGGAAAGGCCCUUCGGGGUACUCGAGCGGCGAACGGGUGAGUAACACGUGAGUAACCUGCCCCUAGCUCUGGGAUAGCUCCGGGAAACCGGGAUUAAUACCAGAUACGACCACUUUAGACAUCUGUCGUGGUGGAAAGGAUUCCGGCUAGGGAUGGGCUCGCGGCCUAUCAGCUUGUUGGUGGGGUAACGGCCUACCAAGGCGACGACGGUAGCCGGCCUGAGAGGGCGACCGGCCACACUGGGACUGAGACACGGCCCAGACUCCUACGGGAGGCAGCAGUGGGGAAUAUUGCGCAAUGGGCGAAAGCCUGACGCAGCGACGCCGCGUGGGGGAUGAAGGCCUUCGGGUUGUAAACCCCUUUCAGCAGGGACGAAGCGAAAGUGACGGUACCUGCAGAAGAAGCGCCGGCUAACUACGCGCCAGCAGCCGC
rnacentral:rRNA from 1 species